rnacentral:tRNA from 1 species
UCCCUGGUGGUCUAGUGGUUAGGACUCAGCGUUUUCACCACUGCCACCUGGGUUCAAUUACUGGUCUGGGAA